GUUCCAGACUCCUACGGGAGGCAGCAGUGGGGAAUAUUGCACAAUGGGGGAAACCCUGAUGCAGCGACGCCGCGUGAGCGAUGAAGUAUUUCGGUAUGUAAAGCUCUAUCAGCAGGGAAGAAAAUGACGGUACCUGACUAAGAAGCCCCGGCUAACUACGUGCCAGCAGCCGCGGUAAUACGUAGGUGGCAAGCGUUGUCCGGAUUUACUGGGUGUAAAGGGCGUGCAGCCGGGACUGCAAGUCAGAUGUGAAAUCCGCGGGCUUAACCCGCGAACUGCAUUUGAAACUGCGGAUCUUGAGUACCGGAGAGGUUAUCGGAAUUCCUUGUGUAGCGGUGAAAUGCGUAGAUAUAAGGAAGAACACCAGUGGCGAAGGCGGAUAACUGGACGGCAACUGACGGUGAGGCGCGAAAGCGUGGGGGGCAAACAGGAUUAGAUACCCGCGUAGC
rnacentral:rRNA from 1 species